UAGGGAAACUUCGGCAAUGGGGGGAACCCUGACCGAGCAACGCCGCGUGAGUGAAGAAGGUUUUCGGAUCGUAAAGCUCUGUUGUUAAGGAAGAACGAGUGUGAGAAUGGAAAGUUCAUGCUGUGACGGUACUUAACCAGAAAGGGACGGCUAACUACGUGCCAGCAGCCGCGGUAAUACGUAGGUCCCGAGCGUUGUCCGGAUUUAUUGGGCGUAAAGCGAGCGCAGGCGGUUAGAAAAGUCUGAAGUGAAAGGCAGUGGCUCAACCAUUGUAGGCUUUGGAAACUGUUUAACUUGAGUGCAGAAGGGGAGAGUGGAAUUCCAUGUGUAGCGGUGAAAUGCGUAGAUAUAUGGAGGAACACCGGUGGCGAAAGCGGCUCUCUGGUCUGUAACUGACGCUGAGGCUCGAAAGCGUGGGGAGCGAACAGG
rnacentral:rRNA from 1 species